CGCCAGACUCCUACGGGAGGCAGCAGUGGGGAAUAUUGCGCAAUGGGCGAAAGCCUGACCCAGCAACGCCGCGUGAAGGAAGAAGGCUUUCGGGUUGUAAACUUCUUUUCUGAGGGACGAAGGAAGUGACGGUACCUCAGGAAUAAGCCACGGCUAACUACGUGCCAGCAGCCGCGGUAAUACGUAGGGGGCAAGCGUUAUCCGGAUUUACUGGGUGUAAAGGGGGCGCAGACGGCGAUGCAAGCCAGGAGUGAAAGUCCGGGGCCCAACCCCGGGACUGCUCUUGGAACUGCGUGGCUAGAGUGCAGGAGGGGCAGGCGGAAUUCCUGGUGUAGCGGUGAAAUGCGUAGAUAUCAGGAGGAACACCGGUGGCGAAGGCGGCCUGCUGGACUGCAACUGACGUUGAGGCCCGAAAGCGUGGGGAGCAAACAGGAUUAGAUACCCUGGUA
rnacentral:rRNA from 1 species